GUAAUUCUAGCAACUCUGGAGGCUGAGGCAGGAGGAUUGCCAAGUUCAAAGCCAGCCUCAGCAACUCAGCAAGACCCUGUCUCAAAAAAGGAAAAAAAUGGCUGAGGAUGUAACCCAGGGGUAGUGCCCAGUACCAAAACAAAGUAGUCAUAUAAACGAAGAGCCAUGGGGCAGAGUCUGGGAAAGAAAGAGUGUCAAACAUGAAGCCCCUGUGUCCUCAUCCAAGUCCCCUCCUGGCCUCGGUGUGGGGCAAUGUGCAGGGCGCUGCUGAGCCAGGAAGCUUGGCCACGCUGCAGCUCCAGGUGCUGGUGGUGGCCUGGAUACACGGGCAGGACCACUGGGCGGUAUGCACGUCACUGCUCCUGGUCUCCAAGGAUGUCAGGUGGCACCAACCCUCUGAUGGCUUGGCUGGUCUUGAUCACUUGGCCAGCCCCGCCCUACUCAUCUCAUUAGCAUAGACUCAGAUGUGGUCCAAGGGGCCCACCAUGAGUCGUUCCAUUAAUAGGACUAUCAGGUGUGGCCCAAGUGGCCCACCAUGAAUAACCAAGACAUUCCUGUCACUCAAGAAAUUUCAAGGGUUCGAGGCAACCUCCCAGGGGUUGAAACAAAAGGUAGGACAUUUAUUUUUCCAGUACUGGAGAUUGAACCCAGGGUGUUGGGAGUCCCCCGGCUCCAAAGACUAAUUUUCCCAUCCCUGGAGAAGAGCCGUCCAAUGGUGAGCCCUGCUGACUCACAUGAUCCUUACCCACCAAUCAGUCUAGCCCUGCUGACUCACGAGAUCCUUACCCACCAAUCAGUCUAGCCCUGCUGACUCACGAGAUCCUUACCCAAAUCAGAAAGCACCCCGUGCCAACUGUCAAACCUUAAACUGUUAAACUGUCAUAACUGUCAAACCCUGCCCCCCCCCCACACUCUAUAAAUAUGCAGAGCUGUUCCUCAAUAAAUGGGCACUUCUUCGACGAUGAGCCUUGUCGGGUCGUUCC
rnacentral:lncRNA from 1 species